rnacentral:ncRNA from 1 species
GUGAGCCUAGUGAUAGGAGACUAUCUAGCUUGGUUCGGAGAGCACUUGUUGAGUGAAAGAUUUUUUUGUUGCUAAAUUCUUAGUAAGAUUUCAUGUCUUCCCUGGGGUUUGGUUUGUUGUGCCCUUUUGUGUUACUUUUU